rnacentral:rRNA from 1 species
UACGUAGGUGGCAAGCGUUGUCCGGAUUUAUUGGGUUUAAAGGGUGCGUAGGCGGUCCUAUAAGUCAGUUGUGAAAUACGGCAGCUUAACUGUCGAGGUGCAAUUGAUACUGCAGGACUUGAGUACAGACGAGGUAGGCGGAAUUGACGGUGUAGCGGUGAAAUGCGUAGAGAUCGGGAGGAACACCCGUGGCGAAGGCGGCCAUCUGGACCAGCACUGACGCUGAGGCACGAAAGCGUGGGGAGCAAACAGG